GCCUACACCCCCCAGAAGCUCAGGGCUCAGCCCGCACACACCGGGAGCCUGCACGGCGCGGGCCGCGGGCCAGGCGAGGGCCCAGGCCCGGAGGCGACCAGCGCGGACUGGAAGAUUAUUAAGAUGCCUCAAGCAUACAGAGCCCACCUGGAGAAGUGCAGGCAUGCUCAGACCCUGCUGUCACGUCCUGAGAGGUGAAAUGGGCCCAAGCUCUUGCCCGAUGGACGGCUCUCCAAGCAUGUCCUACCGGGACCCUUCUAACCAGUGAAUUGUUCACCUCCCAGUGAUUCUUCCCGACUGAGGCCAAGAGAUUUCUGGAGCCUCUUGUCAUGGUCAGCAACAUCCCAUGAGUGACCAGGAAGUGGGGGUUUCUGUUCUAAGUCCCUCAGGCAAAGACAAAGCAGAUGAACCUGGCUCUGGGGAAGAAGCAUAAGAGUGUGUCCACCAUGGCUGUGCCCAGAGUGCCGAGGGUUGGUGUGACUGGGGCCAGCUGGAAUUCUAGAAUUUGUAUUUGGUGUGAGUCACGCCAAAACCACCCAGGUGAAGAGCUCCCCCUGAAGACAGCGGGUCUACCAGUGGGCCAAGUGGCACGUUCCCACUGCCGUGCAAAUGAUCACACCCUGUCAGGACAAGUGAGGGUCACAGACUGGAACCAAAGGAAGUCAGGCGCUUCAUAGGAGGAUAAGCAAAUCAACCCAGGCAAGAAGGGAACUGAAGGAGCCGAACUUUGCAAAAUAACUCCAAGUCCCUGGCUGAAAAGCACUAUGUGAGUGCAGUCCACACAUCUAUUAUACACUGUAAAGGCUCCAAGGUCCAGAGAAGCUUCUGUCCCAAGAGGAAGUCCAUUCCUGUCCACUCUGCAUCUCCUUCCAUCUUCCACUUCUUUCCUCCUGGCAUUGUUUGCUGUCAAGAGGAGAACCAGCUCCCCUGAAAUAAUUAAUACACUGACGUCCUUCGGUGUGUGUUUCUGGAGAGAGAGCUCUAACUGAAGCAGCAGGGAUAGAGGGCUCCGUGGUGUGCAAUGCACACUAUUCGUCCAAUCCGUGCAAUGCAGAGCAAAGAUGACAGGUUUGGGGGUCCUUCCACGGAUGACAAAGGGAGACUGGGAAUGGUCCUGGAGUUGUCUAGAAAUGCAAGCACAGCUCACCACGGUCUCCUCAAGCUGAAGGUCUGUCCUUCACCUGUGGCCUUCCUUGGCCUGGUUAUUCCUCAGAACCUCCUGCUUCGCAGCUGAGGCUGUGGAGAAGUUGGCUCCCUGCCUACUUUGUCAAGGGACUCUGAGGGAGAGCCUGGAGACUGAAAGAUGACUCGUAUGACAGUCUUUCCUUGUGAGUGUUCAUAAUGCAGAGAAAGUCGAACACAGCGAAACCCCGUAAUCAUGAAGGGGAAGGGAAGGGACAUCUCAGCGGUAGUGUUGGGGUUAGGAAGGGGAUGGCCAAACUGUCCACAGUGACCCAGCCAACUGACGUGGCGCUCACUGACUCAGAGCCUCAGGCUGCACACCGUGCCCAGGCUCAGGCACAGGCCCGAGAUGGCCUCAGGCAUUCCUCUUCCUCAUUCCUACUUGCCCCGAGAUUUUGUUCAGAUGGAAUCAGGCAGGAAGCAAAAGGAAGGACAUUCUACAUCUUUCCUACGAGGUUGGCUCACGAAAGGGCUUAUUAGGGUUCCUUCCUGGGUUAGUUCUGCAUCUGGGGUUGGGGAUCCGUUCUUUCUAGAGAUCUCUAAGGAACACACAGAAGGCAAACCUCUCACUCGCCAUUUUAGAGCCGUGUCUCCUAUAACCCCGCUGCUCCGCAUCUCUGAUUAUGGCAUCCUUCUCCAGCUCUGCUUCCAUCUCUCCUACUGCCCCUGGCACGAUUCCUGCCAGUGUUCUCUAAUAAAGCAUUCCUGGGGACACCUGCGGACUCCGGAUGUAGUCUGUAAGAUGAACAGUCCACUUGGAAGUGCAGUGAAGAGCACACUCGAGCCGAGAGGCAGCAGAGCCCCCCCGGCGGCCGCGACGACAUGUUUUCCUGCCCAGGACACAGGCCUUACUUUGCUUUGCGAGCCAGGCCUGCGAGGCCCUAGGCAUCCUUUCAUCCUAGUACGAUGUGUACCUCGAACGUGACAACUGCCACUUAGGGCCCAUCCAACGUCCCAGCCAUCCCCAGAGGAGGUUUUGUGACAGCGUAACAGUUGACCAGAGGCAGAUGGCUAUUCUGCACAUUUUUCCUGAACUCUUCUUAAAUCUGUAUUUUCCACUGGGUAUGUUUUUUGAAUCAGAAGCUACUAGAAUGUUAGAACUGUGCACCAGUGUAGGCUUUAUUCCAGUGCAGAAAUUGAAGCCCAGAAAGGCUAAGGGACUUGCCCAAGGCUGUUUAGCUGGCCUGUGGCCAAGCUGGACCCAGGUUUUGCGCCUUCAUCCCUAUGUCCUGAGGUUACGGCCUGCCAAGUGUAGGCACAGAGGUCAAGCAGCACUUGCUGAAUGAGGGACCUGGCUGCCAUGUCAAAGUCCCCUUUUUCUUUUAUUCCUAGGAAAACUGUCUCCUUCAGGUUUCAAAGGAACACUCCUGAAUGCGAUGUUCUGGAAUUUGGUGGAUGGGUCCAUGUGGAUGCUCCCCCUUCCCUGCAUCAGGCGCUGUUCCCUGGAAACACAUGGGUUGUCUGGUUGCUUUGUGCCUGGUACUGUACUGAGCUCUGGGGACGCAAGACGGAAGCUAGGUCCCUUCUCUGAGUUGCUCUUAAUCCAGGAGUUGGACAGAGGUCUAAACAAAGACACUUAGGCCUCAGGGUCCUAAAUGCCACCACAGUGCCAUCAACAGGGUAUUCGAAGGCUUUCAUUAUGGCCUUCAUUUCUUUCCAGAUGACGAAACACUGAAUCUUUGACAUUAUCAUCUUUUUUGUUACUAUCAGGGAAAAUAAUCGCUCGUCUUUAUUCUGAAGAUUCGACUGCCAACAGGCUAGAGGUCAAGGGCAUUUCGUUGCAAUCGGUGGCGGUGCUGUGCCUGAAGAUCUUGCUGCUUUUCCUUUGCCACCUGGCAGCGUAAUGAGCUGUGUAGGAUGAGCCGAGGGGCCUUAGAAGGGUUAGGGGAUGGACUAGAACACUUUUCCGUUAUGUGUGCGAAGAAUCUGCAUUUCUCAGAGGAGCUGGGGAAGAUGCGAGCUGGUUGUCUUUCAUGACGCAGUCUGUGUUCAUGCUCACACCAGUGGGCCAUUAUUCUUCUCCUGCUGCCUCCUUCCCUAUGACAGGAAGCCUCGUCGCAGGCCACCAUGGAAUGCCUCACUGCCUCUCAGCUGCCCCUCCCUUGGGACAGGUUCGAGGAAGCUCUGGGUACAAACCCAUGCACGCAACAUGCACCGUUUCUUCUAUCUGAAAUUCAAGUUUCCUUCCAAGCUUUCUGAAGGAAAAGGAGAGGUUCCAUAACACAUCCAGGUUUACAAAAAAAGUAGAUGGCCUCUGCAGAUUCCCAAGGGCUUGGUCACAAGAUAGCCUGCUUUAGACAGCCGGGUCACCCUAUGUGUUCUGAAAAAAAAGACUGAUGUAACACAAAUUUAUUGUGUACUUAGAAUACUUAAACACUGCAUGGGAUGCAAAGAUGAGUAAGACAUUCAUGCCCUCAGUCAUUCAUUCAACGAACAUCCAGCCAAGUGUUCCUCCUAUGUGUCAGGCAUUAAGCUAGUCACCAAGAAUUUAACAGUAAGAUGCUUCCUCCAGCGUCUAGUGUUGGCGACCUAGUGAGGACACAGCCAGGCAAAUGAGUCAUAGCAGUGCUGAGCCUCAGAGUCUUUGAAGUAGAUAUGGGGUGUCAUGGGGACCUUUAAGAAGGAAGUACCCUCUGUGGCAGGUGAGAAAAGCACGCGCGAGGAGACCCACUCUCCGGGGCAGAAGCACUCUGGUGCUCCAGAUGGCUGUCCAGUUAAAGAGAAAUUCGUGACCUUGGCAAGUGCAGGAUAGGAGUGUUCACCAUGUCAAGUUUCCACCUUGAGCUACCUUCAAGUUUCCAAAUCAUUCCCCAGGAAGCUCUUCCAGAGAGCAAUUGAACUAUGAACCUGGAAGUCAUUUGGUGGGGAUUUUCCUUCUCAGAAAGGCAGCCAAACAUCCACAGAAAAAGAUCACCUUUUAAAUGAAAGAAGCACGUUGUACUAUUUGGCAAGUGACUGGGGCACGUGCACAUGUGUGUAUGUAUGUUUGUGGGACACAUGUUUGUGAAGAGUUUCAAUUUCUCCAAGGAGCUCGGUAAAAUGCCUUUAAAGUCUCA